rnacentral:rRNA from 1 species
UACGGAGGGGGCUAGCGUUGUUCGGAAUUACUGGGCGUAAAGCGCACGUAGGCGGCUUUGCAAGUUAGAGGUGAAAGCCCGGGGCUCAACUCCGGAAUUGCCUCUAAGACUGCAUCGCUAGAAUUGUGGAGAGGUAAGUGGAAUUCCGAGUGUAGAGGUGAAAUUCGUAGAUAUUCGGAAGAACACCAGUGGCGAAGGCGACUUACUGGACACAUAUUGACGCUGAGGUGCGAAAGCGUGGGGAGCAAACAGG